CACGUAGGGCGCGAGCGUUGUCCGGAAUUAUUGGGCGUAAAGAGCUCGUAGGCGGCCUGUUGCGUCCGCUGUGAAAGCCCGGGGCUUAACCCCGGGUCGGCAGUGGAUACGGGCAGGCUAGAGGUAGGUAGGGGAGAAUGGAAUUCCCGGUGUAGCGGUGAAAUGACGCAGAUAUCGGGAGGAACACCGGUGGCGAAGGCGGUUCUCUGGGCCUUACCUGACGCUGAGGAGCGAAAGCGUGGGGAGCGAACAGG
rnacentral:rRNA from 1 species